rnacentral:rRNA from 1 species
AUAGGUCAAGCUAAAAAGAGCACAAGGGGAAUGCCUUGGCAUCAGGAGCCGAAGAAGGACGCGACAAGCUGCGAAAAGCUACGGGGAGCGGCAAAUACGCAUUGAUCCGUAGAUAUCCGAAUGGGGAAACCCGGCACGGCAAUACCGUGUCAGCGUAUGGUGAAUAAAAUAGUCAUACGCGGGGAACCGCCUGAACUGAAACAUCUAAGUAGGGCGAGGAAAAGACAUCAACAGAGAUUCCGCAAGUAGUGGCGAGCGAACGCGGAUUAGGCCAAACCGAGGGUCAGCAAUGAUCUUCGGGGUAAGGACCCGCAAAUGAUGCAUUAGUCUAGCUGAACGGCGUGGGAAAGCCGUCCGUAGAGGGUGAGAGACCCGUAAGCGAAAGACGCGAUGCACGAGUGGGUAUCCAGAGUACCGCCGGACACGUGAAACCCGGUGGGAACAUGGGAGGACCACCUUCCAAGCCUAAAUACUACCUGAUGACCGAUAGAGGAGCAGUACCGUGAGGGAAAGGUGAAAAGAACCCCGGGAGGGGAGUGAAAGAGCACCUGAAACCUUGUGCUUACAAGCAGUCAAAGCACGUUAAAGUGUGAUGGCGUACCUUUUGUAGAAUGGUCCGGCGAGUUAUAGUAACUGGCAAGGUUAAGCGAUUCAGUCGCGGAGCCGAAGGGAAACCGAGUGUUAAUAGCGCGUAUGAAGUCAGUUGCCAUAGACCUGAAACCGGGUGACCUAUCCAUGAGCAGGCUGAAGUUGAGGUAGAACUCAAUGGAGGGCCGAACCGACUCCUGUUGCAAUAGUAGCGGAUGACUUGUGGAUAGCGGAGAAAUUCCAAUCGAACUCGGAGAUAGCUGGUUCUCCCCGAAAUAGCUUUAGGGCUAGCGUUGUAUUAGAUUACCGGAGGUAGAGCACUGAAUGGGCUAGGGGCUGAUGAAGCUACCGAACCCUAUCAAACUUCGAAUGCCGGAUAAUUGAUGUACAGCAGUCAGACAGUGUGAGAUAAGUUUCAUUGUCGAAAGGGAAACAGCCCAGACCCACAGCUAAGGUCCCAAAUUAACGCUAAGUGGAAAACGAUGUGGGGUUGCAAAAACAACCAGGAUGUUGGCUUAGAGGCAGCCAUACAUUAAAAGAGUGCGUAAUAGCUCACUGGUCGAGUGACCCUGCGCGGAAAAUAUAACGGGGCUAAGCGUUAAACCGAAGCUUGGGAUACACGAAUGUGUAUGGUAGGGGAGCGUCGUAUACGGGGUGAAGUCCGACCGAGAGGACGGGUGGACUGUAUACGAGUGAGAAUGCCGGAAUAAGUAGCGAGAAUUAUGUGGGAAUCAUAAUGGCCGAAAAUCUAAGGUUUCUUGGGGAAGGUUCGUCCGCCCAAGGUAAGUCG